rnacentral:lncRNA from 1 species
UUAGACUCUGGAUGGGCCGUUUAGUGAAUUUCACGGCCUUUCCCAAAAUAAUAUUGCAUUAGAAUCUUUAGGCACGAUUUAAUUAAAUUAUUUUCUUAAACUCGGGUGCGCAUCGAUGCGACCCAAAUCCAAAUCUCGAUGAAGUCGAAAUGUGUUGACAAUCACGGGCGCAUCGAUUGCAACGGGGUUCGAAAUGCGCUUUCACGACAUCAUAAAUCUUAUAAAAUAAAUAAUGAUAGAAAAUAGGUUCAUAAAAUGAGACGAGCCUCACCGAACAAAAUAAGUAAAUGUGGGGCCCUCAAUAAUUGGUUGUUAAAACUAAUUAUAAUCUGGGAGGGCCGUUUAGUGAACUUCACGACCUUCCCCAAAAUAAUAUUACGUCAGAACCUUUAGGAG